rnacentral:rRNA from 1 species
GUGGGGAAUAUUGGACAAUGGGCGAAAGCCUGAUCCAGCAAUGCCGCGUGAGUGAUGAAGGCCUUAGGGUUGUAAAGCUCUUUUACCCGGGAUGAUAAUGACAGUACCGGGAGAAUAAGCCCCGGCUAACUCCGUGCCAGCAGCCGCGGUAAUACGGAGGGGGCUAGCGUUGUUCGGAAUUACUGGGCGUAAAGCGCACGUAGGCGGCUUUGUAAGUUAGAGGUGAAAGCCCGGGGCUCAACUCCGGAACUGCCUUUAAGACUGCAUCGCUAGAACAUCGGAGAGGUAAGUGGAAUUCCGAGUGUAGAGGUGAAAUUCGUAGAUAUUCGGAAGAACACCAGUGGCGAAGGCGACUUACUGGACGAUUGUUGACGCUGAGGUGCGAAAGCGUGGGGAGCAA